rnacentral:rRNA from 2 species
GUCGAACGCACUCUGGAACUGAUUGAAGAAGCUUGCUUCUGAUUGAAGCUCAUUUGAGUGAGUGGCGGACGGGUGAGUAACACGUGGGUAACCUGCCCUAAAGUGGGGGAUAACAUUUGGAAACAGAUGCUAAUACCGCAUAAAACCUAGCACCGCAUGGUGCAAGGUUGAAAGAUGGUUUCGGCUAUCACUUUAGGAUGGACCCGCGGUGCAUUAGUUAGUUGGUGAGGUAAAGGCCCACCAAGACUGUGAUGCAUAGCCGACCUGAGAGGGUAAUCGGCCACACUGGGACUGAGACACGGCCCAGACUCCUACGGGAGGCAGCAGUAGGGAAUCUUCCACAAUGGACGAAAGUCUGAUGGAGCAACGCCGCGUGAGUGAAGAAGGUUUUCGGAUCGUAAAACUCUGUUGUUGGAGAAGAAUGUAUCUGAUAGUAACUGAUCAGGUAGUGACGGUAUCCAACCAGAAAGCCACGGCUAACUACGUGCCAGCAGCCGCGGUAAUACGUAGGUGGCAAGCGUUGUCCGGAUUUAUUGGGCGUAAAGCGAGCGCAGGCGGUUUUUUAAGUCUGAUGUGAAAGCCUUCGGCUCAACCGAAGAAGUGCAUCGGAAACUGGGAAACUUGAGUGCAGAAGAGGACAG